rnacentral:tmRNA from 1 species
GGGGAUGAAAGGAUUUCGACGGGGAUUUUGAACCAUGAUAAGCGAGUAGAGGCGCGGUGCCGCUUUAAAAACCGCACGUUUUAAAAAUAAACGACAAAAAUACUACUUUACAGGCUGCUUAACUUAAGCGCCCGUCCUGAAUAGGACUACCGCGACUUAUUUAAGGGCGUCGAUUAGCGGUGAACGUGAACAGGUGAGUGCCUUGUAACCUGUCAUGCAUUAAAGGCUACCCGAUAAGUCAGUCUGCCGACUGACGGACUUUGAGGGGAAUUUUAAACACUCGGCUACACUCGUAGAAAGUUGUGAGGAUGAGUUUUCGGACGCGGGUUCGACUCCCGCCAUCUCCACCA